rnacentral:rRNA from 1 species
CGUUGUUCGGAUUUACUGGGCGUAAAGGGUGCGCAGCCGGCCUUAAAAGUCAGAUGUGAAAUCUUCCGGCUCACCCGGGAAACUGCAUCUGAAACUCUAAGGCUUGAGUAUGUGGGAAGAAAGUGGAAUUCUCGGUGUANCGGUGGAAUGUGUAGAUAUCGAGAAGAACACCAGUGGCGAAGGCGGCUUUCUAUCACACUACUGACGCUCAUGCACGAAAGCUAGGGGAGCAAACGGGAUUAGAUACCCCGGUAGUCCUAGCCGUAAACGAUGUAUACUUGGUGUUAGGAGCAUCGACCCUUCUAGCGCCGAAGCUAACGCGUUAAGUAUACCGCCUGGGGAGUACGGCCGCAAGGCUAAAACUCAAAGAAAUUGACGGGGGCCCGCACAAGCGGUGGAGCAUGUGGUUUAAUACGACGCAACGCGUAGAACCUUACCAGGGCUUGACAUGUAUGUGACAGUCUAUGAAAGUAGAUCUUCCUUCGGGACAGAUACACAGGUGUUGCAUGGCUGUCGUCAGCUCGUGUCGUGAGAUGUUGGGUUAAGUCCCGCAACGAGCGCAACCCAUGUCCUUAGUUGCCAGCACGUAAUGGUGGGAACUCUAGGGAGACUGCCUCGGUCAACGGGGAGGAAGGUGUGGAUGACGUCAAGUCAGUACGGCCCUUACGCCCUGGGCUACACACGUGCUACAAUGGUCGGUACAAAGAGUCGCAAGACCGCAAGGUGGAGCUAAUCUCAAAAAGCCGAUCUCAGUUCGGAUUGGAGUCUGCAAUUCGACUCCAUGAAGCUGGAAUCGCUAGUAAUGGCGCAUCAGCUACGGCGCCGUGAAUACGUUCCCGGGCCUUGUACACACCGCCCGUCACAUCACCCGAGCUGGGUGCACCCGAAGUCGCUGUACCAACCCAUUUUGGGAGGAAGGCGCCGAAGGUGUGCUUGCAACGGAGGAUGAAGUCGU